rnacentral:rRNA from 1 species
GCAGCCGCCGCGGGAAUACGGAGGGAGCUAGCGUUGUUCGGAAUUACUGGGCGUAAAGCGCGCGUAGGCGGUUACUCAAGUCAGAGGUGAAAGCCCGGGGCUCAACCCCGGAACUGCCUUUGAAACUAGGUGACUAGAAUCUUGGAGAGGUCAGUGGAAUUCCGAGUGUAGAGGUGAAAUUCGUAGAUAUUCGGAAGAACACCAGUGGCGAAGGCGACUGACUGGACAAGUAUUGACGCUGAGGUGCGAAAGCGUGGGGAGCAAACAGGAUUAGAUACCCCGGUAGUCCCUGUCUCUUAUAA